UACGUAGGUGGCAAGCGUUAUCCGGAAUUAGUGGGCGUAAAGGGUUCGCAGGCGGAAAUGCAAGUCAGAUGUAAAAGGCAGUAGCUUAACUACUGUAAGCAUUUGAAACUGCAUAUCUUGAGAAGAGUAGAGGUAAGUGGAAUUUUUAGUGUAGCGGUGAAAUGCGUAGAUAUUAAAAAGAAUACCGGUGGCGAAGGCGACUUACUGGGCUCAUUCUGACGCUGAGGAACGAAAGCGUGGGUAGCAAACAGGAUUAGAUACCCUGGUAGUCAAGGGCG
rnacentral:rRNA from 1 species